GAUGAACGCUGGCGGCGUGCCUAACACAUGCAAGUCGAGCGAGAGUUUGAGGAACGAGCCUUCGGGUAAGGGAAUCGAAUGAAAGCGGCGGACGGGUGAGUAACGCGUGGGUAACCUGCCCUAUGGAGGGGGAUAACGCAGAGAAAUUUGCGCUAAUACCGCAUAAGCGCACAGUAUCGCAUGAUACAGUGUGAAAAACUCCGGUGCCAUAGGAUGGACCCGCGUCUGAUUAGCUAGUUGGUGAGGUAAAAGCUCACCAAGGCGACGAUUAGUAGCCGACCUGAGAGGGUGAUCGGCCACAUUGGGACUGAGACACGGCCCAAACUCCUACGGGAGGCAGCAGUGGGGGAUAUUGCACAAUGGGCGAAAGCCUGAUGCAGCAACGCCGCGUGAAGGAAGAAGGUUUUCGGAUUGUAAACUUCUAUCAGCAGGGACGAAAAUGACGGUACCUGACUAAGAAGCCCCGGCUAACUACGUGCCAGCAGCCGCGAUAAAGUAG
rnacentral:rRNA from 1 species